rnacentral:rRNA from 1 species
UACGAAGGGGGCUAGCGUUGCUCGGAAUUCACUGGGCGUAAAGGGUGCGUAGGCGGGUCUUUAAGUCAGGGGUGAAAUCCUGGAGCUCAACUCCAGAACUGCCUUUGAUACUGAAGAUCUUGAGUUCGGGAGAGGUGAGUGGAACUGCGAGUGUAGAGGUGAAAUUCGUAGAUAUUCGCAAGAACACCAGUGGCGAAGGCGGCUCACUGGCCCGAGUACUGACGCUGAGGUGCGAAAGCGUGGGGAGCAACAGG